GGGAUAGUGGCGUAGUGGUUUGAGUAUUGGACUAUGACUCUGGAGACCAGAGUUCAAUUCCAAACUCUGCCA